ensembl:snRNA U6 U6 spliceosomal RNA
UGCUUGCUUUGGCAGCAAUAUACUACAAUUGGAAAGACACAGAGAUGAUUGGCAUGGCCUUGUGCAAGGGUGACAUGUACAUUCAUGAAGUGUUUCAUAUUUUU